UCGGGAAUAUUGCGCAAUGGGCGAAAGCCUGACGCAGCCAUGCCGCGUGUGUGAAGAAGGCCCUAGGGUUGUAAAGCACUUUCAAUUGUGAGGAAAGGUUGACGAUUAAUACUCGUCAGCUGUGACGUUAACUUUAGAAGAAGCACCGGCUAACUCCGUGCCAGCAGCCGCGGUAAUACGGAGGGUGCAAGCGUUAAUCGGAAUUACUGGGCGUAAAGCGCGCGUAGGCGGUUUUUUAAGUCGGAUGUGAAAGCCCCGGGCUCAACCUGGGAACUGCAUCCGAUACUGGAAGACUAGAGUGCGGGAGAGGGAGGUAGAAUUCCAUGUGUAGCAGUGAAAUGCGUAGAUAUGUGGAGGAAUACCAGUGGCGAAGGCGGCCUCCUGGCUCGACACUGACGCUGAGGUGCGAAAGCGUGGGGAGCAAACGGG
rnacentral:rRNA from 1 species